rnacentral:rRNA from 1 species
CCUACGGGAGGCUGCAGUGAGGAAUAUUGGUCAAUGGCCGGAAGGCUGAACCAGCCAUGCCGCGUGAAGGUCAGUGCCCUAUGGGCGUUAAACUUCUUUUGUGCGGGAGCAAUAAUGGUCACGUGUGGCCAGACGAGAGUACCGUACGAAUAAGCAUCGGCUAACUCCGUGCCAGCAGCCGCGGUAAUACUGGGGAUGCAAGCGUUAUCCGGAUUUAUUGGGUUUAAAGGGUGCGUAGGCUGUGAGGUAAGUCAGCGGUGAAAUGCCCCCGCUCAACGGGGUGAAGUGCCAUUGAUACUGCCUUGCUGGAGUGCGGAUGCCGUGGGAGGAAUGUGUGGUGUAGCGGUGAAAUGCAUAGAUAUCACACAGAACACCGAUUGCGAAGGCAGCUCACGAAUCCGCGAUUGACGCUGAUGCACGAAAGCGUGGGUAUCAAACAGGAUUAGAUACCCCUGUAGUC